CUUUAUUCAUGCCAUAGCCUGACAGUUGAGGGCUGAGGUCCUGGUCAAAAUACAGAUUCAAUAAGGAUUCCAGCAUUGAAAGUGUCAGGUUAUAGUAUUCAAUCCUCAGAAGCUAUAAGAAACAACUGGUACAAAAUUCAGAUGGUAUGAAUAGGCGGUAAGAAUCGUGUGGUCAUCAGCAAUCAAGAGAAUUCGUGACUUAGAAGAUAAAACAGACAUCCAGAAAAGACAAAUAAAAGACUUAGAAGAAAAGAGUAACCGAAAACAUGGAUAAGAUCCCAGGAAGACAAGUGCUUCUAAACCUUCAAAGAUGGCAAAAUUGUUUACACCAGUGAGAGGGAGAUCAAAAGCUAAGAACUACCCUGUAGCCAGGACUACAACUGUGUAUUUUAAAGCCAUUAUUCAAGGUUUCUUACUUGACAGUUCCUACACAACCCUGUUGAAAAUCUACAAUAUAUGCUGCAUUUAAUGAAACAUGUAUAUGUCAAAUCAGAAGAGAAGAACUAUAAACAUAUAUUGUGUAAAGAAAAAGUUCAGCAAUGGAACUAGUUUCUGCAGAUCAAGCAAAGAUGUGUCUUGGGCAUGGAACCAAAGUUACAAUGAAAUAUUCAACCCCUGCUGUGCAGGGGGGUCAUUUUAAUGUAACACCACACCCCAUGGAAACACUAGUCCUGAUAAUAAACAUCAUUUUAAAAGAUCAAAACAAACAAACAAAAAAAACAAGGGUGGGUGGGGAGUGAAGCACGAGGAAUACCUAUGAAGAGCUAUUUACAAUAAAAUGUUUCAUUUGAAAAGUCUGGUU
rnacentral:lncRNA from 1 species